UUCCACACUCAGGCGCAGUAGAGCACGUCCGGUAGCAGGAUGAGACAUCGAUACGUUUCCGAGGUUGGCAAGUGCUAUGCUCCAUGGGUAGCCCCUGACCUGAUUCCCAUCAGUGGCCAAGGACUUCCUGGGUGACCUUGUGGAUUGAAGUCUGUCUUACUACUUCCUGGCUGCAGAAAACAGGGUCCAGAAAUCUGAGUGGGAGACAGGAAAUGCGGCUGCUGAGAAGCCUGCGGUAGAAAAUUGCAGCUGCUCAGCACAAUGGAUCCGAUAUUUCAGUGUUUCGAACAAGCUUUGACAUAGUCCUCAGUAUCGGGUCCUGUCUUCAUUCUCCGGUUUCUGAGGAACUACAUCGCUUUUGGACAGCAUCUCAAAAAAUAAUGUAUUAAGAUUGCACAACUCUCAAACAGUACUGGAUUCCACACUUUGUGAUGGAGGUAAUCUCUUACCUCUGUAGGAAAAUGGAUGCACUUUGAGACCAUAAUUUUAAGUGAAAUAAAUCAG